GACGAACGCUGGCGGCGUGCCUAAUACAUGCAAGUAGAACGCUGAAGAGAGGAGCUUGCUCUUCUUGGAUGAGUUGCGAACGGGUGAGUAACGCGUAGGUAACCUGCCUUGUAGCGGGGGAUAACUAUUGGAAACGAUAGCUAAUACCGCAUAACAAUGGAUGACACAUGUCAUUUAUUUGAAAGGGGCAAUUGCUCCACUACAAGAUGGACCUGCGUUGUAUUAGCUAGUAGGUGAGGUAAUGGCUCACCUAGGCGACGAUACAUAGCCGACCUGAGAGGGUGAUCGGCCACACUGGGACUGAGACACGGCCCAGACUCCUACGGGAGGCAGCAGUAGGGAAUCUUCGGCAAUGGGGGCAACCCUGACCGAGCAACGCCGCGUGAGUGAAGAAGGUUUUCGGAUCGUAAAGCUCUGUUGUAAGUCAAGAACGGGUGUGAGAGUGGAAAGUUCACACUGUGACGGUAGCUUACCAGAAAGGGACGGCUAACUACGUGCCAGCAGCCGCGGUAAUACGUAGGUCCCGAGCGUUGUCCGGAUUUAUUGGGCGUAAAGCGAGCGCAGCCGGUUUGAUAAGUCUGAAGUUAAAGGCUGUGGCUCAACCAUGGUUCGCUUUGGAAACUGUCAAACUUGAGUGCAGAAGGGGAGAGUGGAAUUCCAUGUGUAGCGGUGAAAUGCGUAGAUAUAUGGAGGAACACCGGUGGCGAAAGCGGCUCUCUGGUCUGUAACUGACGCUGAGGCUCGAAAGCGUGCGGAGCGAACAGGAUUAGAUACCCUGGUAGUCCACGCCGUAAACGAUGAGUGCUAGGUGUUGGAUCCUUUCCGGGAUUCAGUGCCGCAGCUAACGCAUUAAGCACUCCGCCUGGGGAGUACGACCGCAAGGUUGAAACUCAAAGGAAUUGACGGGGGCCCGCACAAGCGGUGGAGCAUGUGGUUUAAUUCGAAGCAACGCGAAGAACCUUACCAGGUCUUGACAUCCCGAUGCUAUUUCUAGAGAUAGAAAGUUACUUCGGUACAUCGGUGACAGGUGGUGCAUGGUUGUCGUCAGCUCGUGUCGUGAGAUGUUGGGUUAAGUCCCGCAACGAGCGCAACCCCUAUUGUUAGUUGCCAUCAUUCAGUUGGGCACUCUAGCGAGACUGCCGGUAAUAAACCGGAGGAAGGUGGGGAUGACGUCAAAUCAUCAUGCCCCUUAUGACCUGGGCUACACACGUGCUACAAUGGUUGGUACAACGAGUUGCGAGUCGGUGACGGCGAGCUAAUCUCUUAAAGCCAAUCUCAGUUCGGAUUGUAGGCUGCAACUCGCCUACAUGAAGUCGGAAUCGCUAGUAAUCGCGGAUCAGCACGCCGCGGUGAAUACGUUCCCGGGCCU
rnacentral:rRNA from 1 species